GAAAUGCGAUAAGUAAUGUGAAUUGCAGAAUUCAGUGAAUCAUCGAAUCUUUGAACGCACAUUGCGCCCGCCAGUAUUCUGGCGGGCAUGCCUGUCCGAGCGUCAUUUCAACCAUCAAGUCCCCGGGCUUGUGUUGGGGACCUGCGGCUGCCCGCAGGCCCUGAAAACCAGUGGCGGGCUCGCUGUCACACCGAGCGUAGUAGCAAUCACCUCGCUCAGGGCGUGCUGCGGGUUCCGGCCGUUAAACAGCCUUACAAAACCCAAGGUUGACCUCGGAUCAGGCAGGAAGACCCGCUGAACUUAAGC
rnacentral:misc_RNA from 1 species